rnacentral:misc_RNA from 1 species
UCAAACUUGGUCAUUUAGAGGAAGUAAAAGUCGUAACAAGGUUUCCGUAGGUGAACCUGCGGAAGGAUCAUUAUUGUACUAUAAGAUCGUAAUUUUCGAUUUUUUGGUUCUUUGGAAAUUUUUUUCUCCUGUUGAAUUACGAUCAUUUAGUACAUCCUUUAAACAGGAGCAAAUAUUUAAAACCCAACUCUAUAAAUCAAAUAAAUUUAUUAUGAAAUAAAUUUAAAAAGAUCACUUUCAACAACGGAUCUCUUGGCUCUCGCAUCGAUGAAGAACGCAGC